UUCCGAUCUUCCACUGACCUUCUUCUCAGGGUCCAGUUUUCCCAGGAAUCCCUUCUGUACUGAUAAGGGGAUUCCUGGAAAUACUGUUCUUGGGGGCAAGGCUUGGCAGCUGUUUAAUAA
rnacentral:pre_miRNA from 17 species